AACGAACGCUGGCGGCAGGCCUAACACAUGCAAGUCGAGCGAGCAUUUCGGUGCUAGCGGCGGACGGGUGAGUAACGCGUGGGAACGUGCCCUUUUCUGCGGAAUAGUCCUGGGAAACUGGGGGUAAUACCGCAUACGCCCUUUUGGGGAAAGAUUUAUCGGAGAAGGAUCGGCCCGCGUUGGAUUAGGUAGUUGGUGGGGUAAUGGCCCACCAAGCCGACGAUCCAUAGCUGGUUUGAGAGGAUGAUCAGCCACACUGGGACUGAGACACGGCCCAGACUCCUACGGGAGGCAGCUGUGGGGAAUCUUAGACAAUGGGGGCAACCCUGAUCUAGCCAUGCCGCGUGAGUGAUGAAGGCCUUAGGGUUGUAAAGCUCUUUCAGCUGGGAAGAUAAUGACGGUACCAGCAGAAGAAGCCCCGGCUAACUCCGUG
rnacentral:rRNA from 1 species